rnacentral:rRNA from 1 species
UACGUAGGGGGCGAGCGUUGUCCGGAGUUACUGGGCGUAAAGGGCAUGCAGGCGAUCGGACGCGUUUCGGCUGACAGCGGGUGGCUUCACUACCCGAGUGGUCGAAAGACGGUUUGACUUGAGGACGCGAGAGGGACACGGAAUUCCGGGUGGAGUGGUGAAAUGCGUAGAGAUCCGGAGGAACACCGAAGGCGAAGGCAGUGUCCUGGCGCGUAACUGACGCUGAGGUGCGAAAGCCAGGGGAGCGAACGGG